rnacentral:rRNA from 1 species
UACGUAGGUGGCAAGCGUUGUCCGGAAUUAUUGGGCGUAAAGCGCGUGCAGGCGGCCUUUUAAGUCUGAUGUGAAAGCCCACGGCUCAACCGUGGAAGGUCAUUGGAAACUGAAAGGCUUGAGUACAGAAGAGGAAAGCGGAAUUCCACGUGUAGCGGUGAAAUGCGUAGAGAUGUGGAGGAACACCAGUGGCGAAGGCGGCUUUCUGGUCUGUAACUGACGCUGAGGCGCGAAAGCGUGGGGAGCAAACAGG